AGCUUUGUGCAGUGGCAGUAUCAUAGCCAAUGAGGUUUAUCCGAGGUGCGAUUAUUGCUAAUUGGAAUAUGAAUUUCAAG
rnacentral:snRNA from 1 species